UGGCUGAUCUACUUAUGAAACCACUAGAUGGAUUGAGGUUUGAGUCGCUUCGGACGGCUGUUGGUGUUUGUUCACCUAUCUGAUCGUGGAUUCAUGCAUAUUCAUGCAUUCAUCACAUAUGCACCUAGUCACUUCAUAUCUUGCAUGUGAUCUGUGUGUGUGUGAUGCAUUUUUGAUUGUUAGUUUGUCGUUUAGUCUUCUUUUGUGUGUUAUAUUUUUGUGUUUAAAU
rnacentral:lncRNA from 1 species